AACGGACGCUGGCGGCAUGCCUAACACAUGCCAGUCGAACGAGACCUUCGGGUCUAGUGGCGCACGGGUGCGUAACGCGUGGGAACCUGCCCUUAGGUUCGGAAUAACUCCCCGAAAGGGGUGCUAAUACCGGAUAAUGUCUUCGGACCAAAGAUUUAUCGCCUUUGGAUGGGCCCGCGUUGGAUUAGCUAGUUGGUAGGGUAAAAGCCUACCAAGGCGACGAUCCAUAGCUGGUCUGAGAGGAUGAUCAGCCACACUGGGACUGAGACACGGCCCAGACUCCUACGGGAGGCAGCAGUGGGGAAUAUUGGACAAUGGGCGAAAGCCUGAUCCAGCAAUGCCGCGUGAGUGAUGAAGGCCUUAGGGUUGUAAAGCUCUUUUACCCGGGAUGAUAAUGACAGUACCGGGAGAAUAAGCGCCGGCUAACUCCGUG
rnacentral:rRNA from 1 species